rnacentral:rRNA from 1 species
CGCACGAGCGCACCCCUAUCCUUAGUUGCUAGCAGGUAAUGCUGAGAACUCUAAGGAGACUGCCGGUGAUAAACCGGAGGAAGGUGGGGACGACGUCAAGUCAUCAUGGCCCUUACGUGUAGGGCUACACACGUGCUACAAUGGCGCAUACAGAGUGCUGCGAACCUGCGAAGGUAAGCGAAUCACUUAAAGUGCGUCGUAGUCCGGAUUGGAGUCUGCAACUCGACUCCAUGAAGUCGGAAUCGCCAGUAAUCGCGUAUCAGAAUGACGCGGUGAAUACGUUCCCGGGCCUUGUACACACCGCCCGUCACACCAUGGGAGUGGGUUGCUCCAGAAGUAGAUAGUCUAACCCUCGGGAGGACGUUUACCACGGAGUGAUUCAUGACUGGGGUGAAGUCGUAACAAGGUAGCCCUAGGGGAACCUGGGGCUGGAUCACCUCCUU